CAGCAGAUACUGCAGACCCCGGCUGAGACACAUGAUCAUCACCUGCUCUGAAAGACAGCGGCUCUGCACUGAAGGAGACCAGCAUGAAUACAUGACUCGUUUCCAAGGAUACUGAGGGAGGAUGGCUGCCGGCUCCAGGCUACAUUAGCUGCUACUAUCAUUACACACCCGAAUCUCCAACCAAAGGGUCGGCGGUCUAGUUGCAUUGUGGGUAGGGACGGAACAUCUGAAGCCUGGACCAGUCACGUUGCACCACAGACGUCCGUACUGUAGCCCACACUCUCCCUCUAUGACUCUCACCAGCUAAAUGUUAGACUUCCAUAUCGAUGAGUAUGUGGGCAGCGGGAGAGCUGGCAUCAAGCAGUCACUACUCACAGUGUCAGAAUCAAGAAAAUUAGAGCUUUGUUAAUGUAUAUUAUCAGUGUGGACCGACUUUUGCUUUUGACAUGGAAGGUAAAUGUUGCUGGGAAGUGCUCUGUCACUUAGUAACUUACUAACAUUACUAUACAUACAUACUGGACAUACCAUACAAGCAUCCCCACUCACAUAUACAUUCACCUGCCUCUCCAAUCUCCAGCCCCUCUUCCCCCUCCACCCCACCUCUUCCUCUCCUAUGCCUAUUUCUGUCGUCUUAUUUGGAGUCAUUGAUAGAAGUGUGGUAGCUCAACACCCCCUCCCACACACACACACACACACACACACACACACACACACACACACACACACACACACACACACACACACACCCGUCCAUCCACUCUCCUCCAUCCUCCUCCCAUCUCACCCUGCCGUUACAGUCGCGCUGGUCUCCCUGCCCCUGCAACACCCCCGCUGAGCUCACGCGGUUAGUACAGUCUGCCUGUGCUCUCUCCUUAUAAGGGCAAAAUACAUUGACAGAGGCAGAGAGAGGGGGGCUGUACCAGCACAGGCAGGCAGGUAGGGGGACAGUGGCUCUAACAGGAGGAGAGAGAAAUUAUGCCAGAGGAGCAAAGAUUAGAAAAAAGUGAACAGGGAGAAGGAGAGAUGAAGAUGGCCAGGGAGAGAGGGUGACGUUGAUUGUGUCAUAAAAUAUUGGGUGCAACUAAAGCUUGGGGGCUUAUGAAAGAAAAUAGCAACAUUUGUCCACUGAGGAGGCCAGUAGCACAUUUUGUGGCAUUGAUUUUCAGAUUUCAAGAUCUAGUUUUUCGCCGUGAAUUUCAUUUGAUUUCAGGGUAGAGAACCCUACCAAGAAACACAAAAUUAGAAACGGCUGAUAUUUAGUCUGAAUAUUCAAUAUUUGUAAAUUGUUAUUUAUGGAAAGACAAAAAACAGUGAAACAAGCAUUAAGACAAAUAUAACAAAAGCUUCCUCCAAAACCCAUAAUUAUCAUAUUUCCAACUGCAUGAUACCAUGUCUCCAAAGCUGAUCAAAGUGCCAAGCACUUUAAGUAGCCUGGCUAAUGCAGACCACAAAUUGAAAAAAUAAAGCCAUUCAUAAAAAUGAACAAUUACGUGAAUGUAUGCAUCAGUUAUGGUAAAUAGGCUACCCUAAACCUAACAUUGUAACAUAAAACACUGAUAUUAUACACAGGAGGCUUUGGCUUUGGCUUUGGCUCCAGAACGUAUCGCUCAUUGCUUGUAAUAUAUCUCUCAAAUGCAGAAACGUUUCCUCCCAGUGGAAGAUAUUUGUCAUCCCCAAAGGUCAUGUCAGCAAGACUCAGAAUCUGACACAGUAAAAUGUAUUGGCUUGUUGGCUGGAUCAGAAUCACAAUCAGAAAAAGCGUUUAUUGCCACAGUAAGUUACAUUUAUGUGGAAUUUGCCUUGUGCUCAGAAACUCCAUCUUUUUAUUAAUACUGACAGUAGCAUCAGUAUUGAUAAAAAUGACUGCUGUCAGCGUCAUCAUUAUUUAAUCAUCCUGUUCUUCCUUGUCAUGAUCAUAAACAGUGAUCAUGUGGUCUAAUUGUCAUCAUAUUCACAUAAAUAUAUUCCAUCAUGCUUUCGUGUAGUGGGAUCAUGUGUCAGUAUACAGUCAAUUCAGGUUAUGCGCUGUUUCACUCAACAUUAAUAAAGUAUUCAUCAGUUAUAAAAAAUGUAAUCAAAGAAAAAGCUUUAAAAUAAAAAGUGGAAAAUGA